rnacentral:rRNA from 1 species
GAUGAACGCUGGCGGCGUGCCUAAUACAUGCAAGUCGAACGAAACUUCUUUAUCACCGAGUGCUUGCACUCACCGAUAAAGAGUUGAGUGGCGAACGGGUGAGUAACACGUGGGCAACCUGCCCAAAAGAGGGGGAUAACACCUGGCAACAGGUGCUAAUACCGCAUAACCAUAGUUACCGCAUGGUAACUAUGUAAAAGGUGGCUAUACUACCGCUUUUGGAUGGGCCCGCGGCGCAUUAGCUAGUUGGUAGGGUAAAGGCUUACCAAGGCAAUGAUGCGUAGCCGAAUUGAGAGGUUGAUCGGCCACAUUGGGACUGAGACACGGCCCAAACUCCUACGGGAGGCAGCAGUAGGGAAUCUUCCACAAUGGGCGAAAGCCUGAUGGAGCAACGCCGCGUGGGUGAAGAAGGUCUUCGGAUCGUAAAACCCUGUUGUUAGAGAAGAAAGUGCGUGAGAGUAACUGUUCACGUUUCGACGGUAUCUAACCGGAAAGCCACGGCUAACUACGUG